UGGCGAACGGGUGAGUAACGCGUGAGGAACCUGCCUCAAAGAGGGGGACAACAGUUGGAAACGACUGCUAAUACCGCAUAAGCCCACGGGUCGGCAUCGACCUGAGGGAAAAGGAGCAAUCCACUUUGAGAUGGCCUCGCGUCCGAUUAGCUAGUUGGUGAGGUAACGGCCCACCAAGGCGACGAUCGGUAGCCGGACUGAGAGGUUGAACGGCCACAUUGGGACUGGGACACGGCCCAG
rnacentral:rRNA from 1 species